rnacentral:lncRNA from 1 species
AUGAGAAGCAGUGCUCCUUUUUGCCAAAAGCAAAUAAAUGUGAUCUAUGGGAAGUGGAGGGCACCUGGCGUAGUCGUAUGUCUUUUUAAAGACAGCAACUUCAAACAGGACAUAACUAACUUUCAACGUACAGUAGUGCCAAGGAGCAGACAAAGAAUCCUGUCUUUGGUGUGGCACAGAAGAAGAAAAAGAAGAAGAAGAAGAAUGAGACAAAAUGGGGAACGUGCCAAGCCACGCAGGGAAAAGCCAAGGGGCCGAAACACAGAAUGGAACGGAGGAGAAGGAAUGAGUGAUAGAAAGAUAAGGGCACAAAACCACAAGGGAACAGACCAAACAGGAAGUGCUGGGAAAGGGGGCAAACACGGGGGGUGUCCCCGGGCGGAGCGCUGGGAGUGUGUGGUGGACACACACGUCUGCCUUCGCAGCCGAAGACGAGGAGGAGGAGGAGGAGGAGGAGGAACAAACAGCACAGUCGCGCACAAACACAGAUACGCCAUUGAGACACAAUGGGUUUUCAAAUUCAAACCGUGGCCGCUGAGCCUCAACAAACAGCAGUGAGGGGACCAGGAUGCCAUGGAUGCCACGGGAUAUUCCUGCUUUUAGAAGUUUGUAUUCCGGAGCAGCCCAAUGUAAAUGUAGCGUAGAAAGGCCCAAGCCAGGAUACAAUGCAGGCCUACAAAACACAUCUUCUGGACCAUUUAAAAUCAAAUACCUAUUCAGGACUUGUUUUCAUUUCUUUCUUUCUGUCUUUCUUUCUUCUUUCUCUCUCUCAUUUUCUCCCCCCUCUGCUUUCCUCUUUUUUUCUUUAUAGAGAAGCAGACACAGACUAUGUUGUGCCUCCUGCUUUUUUUCUCACUCUUUUGCCUAGUUCUCCUUUAUGUAUUCAAAUUCAGUUCAGCAGCAUAAAAUCCUCCCAAGGGUCAUCAUUGUGCUCCUGCUUGUCCCCUGGGCUCCCCAUCACAGCGCUCAAUCUCCUCAUCUACACAAUGUAACACCCAGAAGAUGAAGCCAGGAACAGGCCCCCCCUCCCCUACACUACCCCUUUUUAAAUGGCCACAUGCAAUUUGAAGAUUAAUUAAAAUGCCUUUAAAGCCAUUGCUGAUUGUGUGAGAUUCUCUCUCAAAGACGUUGUAAAUUAUUCCACUUUUCUUCAAAAAAAAGAAAAAGGAAAGAAAAGAAGAAAAAAAAAACACGAACUAACUGUGGGCCCGAAACAAAUAGCCUAAAUAGCCUUUCACUGAUUUUACCCUUGGAAUAAUAAACAUCUGUUAGAUUAUUAUGUACGGGAUGAA